rnacentral:rRNA from 1 species
AUUGAACGCUGGCGGUAUGCUUAACACAUGCAAGUCGAACGGUAGCAUGACUUAGCUUGCUAAGUUGAUGACGAGUGGCGAACGGGUGAGUAACGCGUAGGAAUAUGCCUUAAAGUGGGGGACAACUUGGGGAAACUAAAGCUAAUACCGCAUAAUUUCAUUGGAAAAAAGCUGGGGACCUUCGGGCCUGGCGCUUUAAGAUUAGCCUGCGUACGAUUAGCUAGUUGGUAGGGUAAAGGCCAACCAAGGCGACGAUCGUUAGCUGGUCUGAGAGGAUGAACAGCCACACUGGAACUGAGACACGGUCCAGACUCCUACGGGAGGCAGCAGUGGGGAAUAUUGGACAAUGGGGGAAACCCUGAUCCAGCAAUACCGCGUGUGUGAAGAAGGCCUGAGGGUUGUAAAGCACUUUCAGUGGGGAGGAGGGUAUUUAGGUUAAGAGCUAGAAUACUGGACGUUACCCACAGAAGAAGCACCGGCUAACUCCGUGCCAGCCGCCGCGGUAA